UGGAGACAGGUAGGCACUGUGGAAUCAGCAGUGCGUAGAACAGUGAGGAAUUAGGGCUGAACCCAGCCCAGGUGGGACAAGCCCUGGCACCAGCCGACUGCAGUCUGAUGGAACUUCCCCUUCCUGCCCAGCAGAUGGCGAGCGUGUGCUGCUGGUGCCUCUUUCCAAAGGAUGUUGAAUUGUUUGACAGGUGUUCUUUACUUUAUGAAUGAAACCAGAGCAGCCCACCUUCCUGCAUCUCUACCACCAUGGCACCAUGCCCUGUGAAGGGUGAGCUGGAGUCAAAUACGUAGCAGGCAGCCAGGGUCAGUUUGUGGCCACUGCUGCCCCCUCUUCCUACGGUCUCCUCACUGAGUGCCCCUUCCCUGUUGGGUUCAACAUGUCUAUGCUCCUGUAAGCCCUCAGCCUCCUCGUUCUCUUCCUCAACUUCUACCACCAGACACACCUGAGAGGCAAGCAAGAGAGGCUAAACUAGGAGCAGGACCCAGGGACUGAAACCAGCACAGCAUCCCCACAGAGAAUUGGGUGGAAGGCAGCAUGGCUUCCAGCUUACUGGUGCCGAGCAGAUUCCUCUGGGUCUCCAUUGUAUCCUCUGAAGGAAGGAGGAGGAUUGCCUUCUGUCCAGAUCUCAGGAUCAAACAAAUAGGCCCAACUUCCUGUGCUCACUUCAGUUAGAGCACUUCUCAUGUGACUUUGUAGCUUUGUGUGCGUCUCCUUCCUCUACUAGACCUAAGCCCCUCACUGGAAGGACUCUCUUAUUCUUGAUGUUCCCCACAUCUGGAAUUUCA